ACCCAUAUAUUCCAACCGAGAGGAUAUCUGGCUUUCAACCGGAAGGUCUGGGUUCAACUCCCAGUAUGGGUU
rnacentral:tRNA from 1 species